rnacentral:rRNA from 1 species
GAUGUACGCUGGCGGCGUGCCUAAUACAUGCAAGUCGAGCGAACAGACGAGGAGCUUGCUCCUUUGACGUUAGCGGCGGACGGGUGAGUAACACGUAGGUAACCUACCUAUAAGACUGGGAUAACUUCGGGAAACCGGAGCUAAUACCGGAUAAUAUUUCGAACCGCAUGGUUCGAUAGUGAAAGAUGGCUUUGCUAUCACUUAUAGAUGGACCUGCGCCGUAUUAGCUAGUUGGUAAGGUAACGGCUUACCAAGGCAACGAUACGUAGCCGACCUGAGAGGGUGAUCGGCCACACUGGAACUGAGACACGGUCCAGACUCCUACGGGAGGCAGCAGUAGGGAAUCUUCCGCAAUGGGCGAAAGCCUGACGGAGCAACGCCGCGUGAGUGAUGAAGGUCUUCGGAUCGUAAAACUCUGUUAUUAGGGAAGAACAAACGUGUAAGUAACUGUGCACGUCUUGACGGUACCUAAUCAGAAAGCCACGGCUAACUACGUG